UUGGAGGGCAAGUCUGGUGCCAGCAGCCGCGGUAAUUCCAGCUCCAAUAGCGUAUAUUAAAGUUGUUGCAGUUAAAAAGCUCGUAGUUGAAUUUCGGGAUCAGUACGCUGGUCGUGCCUUCGGUAUGCACUGGUGUCACUGGUUCCUCCCUUCUGACGAACCGUCAUGCCAUUCACUUGGUGUGGCGGGAAAUCAGGACUGUUACUUUGAAAAAAUUAGAGUGUUUAAAGCAGGCUCACGCUUGAAUACAUUAGCAUGGAAUAAUGAAAUAGGACGUUGAUCUUAUUUUGUUGGUUUCUAGGAUUGACGUAAUGAUUAAUAGGGAUAGUUGGGGGCAUUAGUAUUCAAUUGUCAGAGGUGAAAUUCUUGGAUUUAUUGAAGACUAACUACUGCGAAAGCAUUUGCCAAGGAUGUUUUCAUUAAUCAAGAACGAGAGUUAGGGGAUCGAAGACGAUCAGAUACCGUCGUAGUCUUAACCAUAAACUAUGCCGACUAGGGAUCGGAUGAUGUUAAUUUUUUAAUGACUCAUUCGGCGCCUUACGG
rnacentral:rRNA from 1 species